rnacentral:rRNA from 1 species
CCUACGAGUGGCUGCAGUGAGGAAUAUUGGUCAAUGGGCGGAAGCCUGAACCAGCCAAGUAGCGUGCAGGAUGACGGCCCUACGGGUUGUCAACUGCUUUUAUACGGGAAUAACGCGCCUUACGUGUAGGGCUUUGCAUGUACCGUAUGAAUAAGGACCGGCUAAUUCCGUGCCAGCAGCCGCGGUAAUACGGACGGUCCGAGCGUUAUCCGGAUUUAUUGGGUUUAAAGGUCGCGUAGGCCGCAUGUCAAGCGUGCUGUGAAAUGUCCGGGCUCAACCCGGGCCUUGCAGCGCGAACUGGCGUGCUUGAGUCCGCGGAAAGCAGGCGGAAUUCGUCGUGUAGCGGUGAAAUGCUUAGAUAUGACGAAGAACCCCGAUUGCGAAGGCAGCUUGCUGCAGCGGAACUGACGCUGAUGCUCGAAAGCGCGGGUAUCGAACAGGAUUAGAUACCCGGGUAGUC